UACGUAGGGGGCAAGCGUUGUCCGGAUUUACUGGGCGUAAAGAGCGUGUAGGCGCCAAGCAGGUCCGUUGUGAAACUGGAGGCUUAACCUCCAGACGUCGACGGAAACCGCGUGGCUAGAGUCCGGAAGAGGAGAGUGGAAUUCCUGGUGUAGCGGUGAAAUGCGCAGAUAAUCAGGAAGAACACCAAUGGCGAAGGCAGCUCUCUGGGACGGUACUG
rnacentral:rRNA from 1 species